UCCUCGUAAGGCCCAACGUCCUAUUUUUAGGACUGAGAAAUGUAGUCCUUCCGGCCCAAGCAACUAUAUUAAUUUAUCAAUUAGCGGCCCAGAGUCCUAAAAUUAGGUCAUUCACUUCUGACACGUACCGAUCCUAAAUCUUUGCGUGUAAAGAAGCCUUUAUUUCUUAAAUAUGGCGGAAUUGAACGCAGCUAUUAUGAUUACCUGUCAGUUUGACGUUUGACAAUCAAAUGACAGUCUUUUGGCACGCGGAUGUUGGGAAGAUGGCGUCCUCGCGAAAACGUUGCUUGAGGGAUGCAGAAUUAGAAAAUUAUUUAAAUCUUAUCUUUACCCAGUCAACAAUUCAGGACAUACGGUGCACUUCAUAUGCCAUUAGCUGGUGAACAACAAAAUAGAUGUAGGAGGCCAGAGUGUAAUAAAAAAAAGAAACUUGAUCUCAUCCUUAAUAAAGACUAAAGUGCAAUUGUUAAACAAAGUUGAGGCUGAUGUGAUAAUAUUUUAGAAGAAAGUACUUUUUGUUGAUGUUUAGAAUACAUAAGUUUAGAUUUUUUGUACAACUGUAAUGUACUACCUACCUAUACAUAAAUAAAAAUAAUUAUAAAAUAUG